rnacentral:rRNA from 1 species
CCCUUAGAUGUUCUGGGCCGCACGCGCGCUACAAUGGCAAACUCAGCGAGUCUCCUUUACCGACAGGUAUAGGAAAUCUUUUCAGUGUUUGCCGUGAUGGGGCUAGACCCUUGUAAUUAUUGGUCUCCAACGAGGAAUUCCUAGUAAACGCAGGUCAUUAACCUGCAUUGAUUACGUCCCUGCCCUUUGUACACACCACCCGUCGCACCUACCGAUUGAAUGGUCCGGUGAAGUCUCCGGACUGAGUACUUUUAGUACUUGGGAAGUUGACUAAACCUUACUAUUUAGAGGAAGGUGAAGUCGUAACA